rnacentral:rRNA from 1 species
AUGAACGCUGGCGGCGUGCCUAAUACAUGCAAGUCGAGCGAACGGACGAGAAGCUUGCUUCUCUGAUGUUAGCGGCGGACGGGUGAGUAACACGUGGAUAACCUACCUAUAAGACUGGGAUAACUUCGGGAAACCGGAGCUAAUACCGGAUAAUAUUUUGAACCGCAUGGUUCAAAAGUGAAAGACGGUCUUGCUGUCACUUAUAGAUGGAUCCGCGCUGCAUUAGCUAGUUGGUAAGGUAACGGCUUACCAAGGCAACGAUGCAUAGCCGACCUGAGAGGGUGAUCGGCCACACUGGAACUGAGACACGGUCCAGACUCCUACGGGAGGCAGCAGUAGGGAAUCUGCCGCAAUGGGCGAAAGCCUGACGGAGCAACGCCGCGUGAGUGAUGAAGGUCUUCGGAUCGUAAAACUCUGUUAUUAGGGAAGAACAUAUGUGUAAGUAACUGUGCACAUCUUGACGGUACCUAAUCAGAAAGCCACGGCUAACUACGUG